AACAAGGUCUCCGUUGGUGAACCAGCGGAGGGAUCAUUACAGAGUUAAUAAACUCCCAACCCAUGUGAACUUACCUAUGUUGCCUCGGCGGGAGAGCCUACCCGGUACCUACCCUGUAGUUACCCGGGAGCGAGCUACCCUGUAGCCCGCUGCUGGCCGACCCGCCGGUGGACAGUAAAACUCUUGUUUUUAGUGGAUUAUCUGAGUGUUUAUACUUAAUAAGUUAAAACUUUCAACAACGGAUCUCUUGGUUCUGGCAUCGAUGAAGAACGCAGCGAAAUGCGAUAAGUAAUGUGAAUUGCAGAAUUCAGUGAAUCAUCGAAUCUUUGAACGCACAUUGCGCCCAUUAGUAUUCUAGUGGGCAUGCCUGUUCGAGCGUCAUUUCAACCCUCAAGCCCCAGUUGCUUGGUGUUGGGAGCCUGCAACCCCCCGGGGGCUGCAGCUCCUCAAAGCUAUUGGCGGAGUCGUAUUGGCCCUAAGCGUAGUAAUUUUUUCCUCGCUUCUAGUGGUUCCAGUGCUGGCGUCCAGCCGUAAAACCCCUAAUUUUCUAGUGGUUGACCUCGGAUCAGGUAGGAAUACCCGCUGAACUUAAGCAUAUCAAUAAGCCCGGAGAAAAGACCCUUACUACGCUAAGGGCCAAUACGACU
rnacentral:rRNA from 1 species